AAAAGAGACAAAAUCGUCCCAUUUGCAACAACAUGGAUGGACCUUGAGGGUAUUAUGUUAAGGUAAGGAGACCAGGUCUGAGAAUAUUCUGGAGUCCUCUACAGAGGGGAGGGCAGUGAUUGGCAACUCCCAUCUCUUUACAAACAAGAAGCCAUGUUCUCUGGAGGUUUCCCUGGAAAGGCCAAGAAAUUGUUCACUCUAGGGGAAGCCGGCUGCCAUGCCAUGAGUGUAUUCAACCAGCCCUGUGGAGAGGUCCCCAUGGUGAGGAACUGAGGCCUCCUGCCAACAGCCAUGUGAGUGCGCCAUCUUGAAAGCAGAUCUUUCAGGCCCAGUCCAGCCUUCAUAUGACUACAGCCUCAGCCAACAUCUUUGCUAAAACCUGAGGAGAGACUCUGACCCAGAAUCACAUUGCUAAGCCACUUCCUGAUUCUCUGAAGCUAUAUAAGAUAAUAAAGCUUUUUGCUUU